CUCCCCGUCUUACAAUCUCAGACCCUUAACCAGGUUCUGAAAAACACACAUGCAUGCACACACACAAAAGAUCUGUCUUCUGAAAAUGUACAAAGUCUCAAUGGAGCUAUGCAUGUAAUGAAGAGAGCGUGUGCCUGCAGCCACAGCCAGCAUUGGGGAAAUCCCCGGCGGUCAAAGGUAUCGACUUUAUCUUCUCUCUUCUCCCAACCUGUGAGCUCAGGUUGUCUGCUCCACUGAGCUCCAAAGGCUGACCGCGGCAGCAAGUGAGGGGCGAAAUUCGGAAAAACUAAGUCCUGAUUAUCAGGGAGAGGAAGCUCAAACACCCCUCUCUACCCACAGUCCCCCACUCUCACUGAUCUGACUACAGAUGUACCUGGUUUGGAUCACAGAGGGAGAAAAAAAAAUGGAUUUGCCGACACAAUGGCUCUGGCAUUUUGAGACAACAAGAGACAAAGACACAUCAGAGAUGCUGCUGAAUAGAGAGAGGAACUCACCGCUGAAAGGCCGUUCAUUGCACCGCUGGAUGAAUUCUAAUAAUCUGUCGUCUAUUUUUCUCUGUUCUUUAUCCCGUAUCCUUCAAACCCCCACGCACUCUGCGCACCCUCGUUCAGACUGCUUUGUUAAAAGGGUCAAAGAGCAGCCUCAUCAAAGGGUCAUUUGUGAGUCUCAAUGGGGAAGUAGGCUAGCUCUUUUCCUUAAUGGGACUCGGCACAACUGAAGCAUUUUGGAGGGACCGAGGAAAAGGCUUUAUUUCUAAAUGGAGCUUUAUGAAAGGGAACUACGAAAUCAAGGAACUUUGUUUGCUGUUGGUGGGUGGUGCCUGCAGAGGCGACUGAAUGGAGCGUGUCACCACAAGAGUGUGCUAAGAGGCACUCCAGAACAUAGAUGAGCUGAAUUACUUAUGGAAAUAGAAGAAAAAUGAACAACAGGAAGGGCAGCACUUAACGUUAUUAUGUACUUUGUAUUGUGAUAAUAUUUGCACAGACUGUAGAAAUACUGGUUUAACAGCACAAAUCUAUUACAAAGAGAUAUUGUGAGUAGGCUGCUUAAACAUUGUUCUACGCGGUUGCAUGAUCAUAACAAUCAUCACAAUGAUAAAGUUCCUUCCCUUAUAUCAUUACCACAAAGUCAUUUACUCAUUUAAAGGAAUUCACGCACGCACACAGGCACAUCCACACACGCCAGCAGCACCUCAGGCAACAAUAAUCAAUUAGAAUAUCCUGGCAAAGGCUGGCUGCACCAUGUAAAUGAUGUGAUACAAAUGAGCUUUUCCUAAUUAAACGGUCUAAUUUGCUAAAAGGGGUGUGAGAGGGAGGUUGGCGCCGGAGCCAGCUGAAAUGCACGGCAACAACAAAACGCCGCAGGUGCUGUUGAAGAUGAUAAAUGUGAGUAAAGCAGUGUGUUUUUAAAAUGAGCCGUUACGGGGGAACAUGACAUGUGCAUUUGUGUUUCGUAGGAGUGAUUUAUUUCCCGCAAAGUCCUUUGUAAGGCUGAAAGAGACGCUUUCAUCACUCUGUGAAAAACUCGGCAACAGACAGUUCGAACAUCGUGUUUGAGGUUACAUGUUUAUGGGCUGGGAUAUGUCAGGAGGCAGCAGGGCUCGUGAUGUGAGUUACAGGCAACAGCGUUUCUAUAUUUAUAAGCAAUCACCACUGGGUAUUUUUAAGACAUCGGGAACUUCCAGCUGUGUUUGUGGCAACCAAAUCAGGUAUUUUUAGCUAAAACACGAUGUUUUCCUAACCCUGCACAUGGAAAAAAAAAAAGGUUCUUCAGAGUGAUGUCAUAGAACACCCAUUUUUGGUUCCACAAAAGACCCUUUAUCAUGAGAUUCUUUAAUGCACCCCCAACAAACACACCCAAAAGUGCCUUGGGGAACCAUUAAAAAAAAUACCAUUCUUUUAGGCAGCAUAAAUGGUGCUCUAAAGAACCUUUUUUGUACUCUCACAUGACAGUUGGUAAUGUGUUUAAAUGAAAAAAACCUGUCACCUGUACCUUUUCAUCCCGCCAGUGAAGUUAAGUUUAUAAAUUUAACAAAACAAAACCCUAACAAAUUUUCCCUAAGUCUCAAUAUGUAGUACACAUCUAGAAGUUCAUAAUACUCAAUUAAAAAAAUUAUCUAGACCAAAAGUCUUCUGUUACAGAAGUACAUAAAGCCUCAAACAUAAAAAAACAAACAAAAACAAAACAAAAACAAACACUGAACAUGACAUAAUUAUCAGUAAGAAAAUCUUGAGAAUUAGCAGUUAUUAGGGCUAAAGGAUCACACAGUAUAUUUCAUGUCAGCUCCAUUAGAUCUACAAACAGACCAGGUGUAAAGUGUGCACUCACCUUUUUAAGGUAAUUAAUGUUCUGCCAGUGAGCUUUUAGCAGCAGUAUGUUUCAGCAUAUCAAUCAGCAUGAGAUACACAGCAGCAACAAGCAAAGGCUAUAUUGCACACACAAUGACCAGCCACCC